AUGUCCCACGCGUCCACUGCGGUUGUGAGCGCGCCGUCCGCGCCCACCUGACAGCUGCUUGGUACGUUCUGUUCGCC
rnacentral:sRNA from 2 species